UGGGGAAUAUUGGAAAAUGGGCGAAAGCCUGAUCCAGCCAUGCCGCGUGUGUGAAGAAGGUCUUCGGAUUGUAAAGCACUUUAAGUUGGGAGGAAGGGCAUUAACCUAAUACGUUAGUGUUUUGACGUUACCGACAGAAUAAGCACCGGCUAACUCUGUGCCAGCAGCCGCGGUAAUACAGAGGGUGCAAGCGUUAAUCGGAAUUACUGGGCGUAAAGCGCGCGUAGGUGGUUUGUUAAGUUGGAUAUGAAAUCCCCGGGCUCAACCUGGGAACUGCAUUCAAAACUGACUGACUAGAGUAUGGUAGAGGGUGGUGGAAUUUCCUGUGUAGCGGUGAAAUGCGUAGAUAUAGGAAGGAACACCAGUGGCGAAGGCGACCACCUGGACUAAUACUGACACUGAGGUGCGAAAGCGUGGGGAGCAAACA
rnacentral:rRNA from 1 species